GCCACUGCCCGACCUUUCGGGUGUUGGGCGGUGCCACCGCUAGACCUCUCGGAUGCUGGGCGGUGCCACCGCCCGACCUCUCGGAUGCUGGGCAGUCCGGCGGUUCCACCGCCCGGUCCUACGGGUCAAUAGAUGAGCUUCAAAUCUGGCCCAAACUAGGUAAUAUCGGGCCCAAUUGGCCCCUAACCAGGAUAUAGGAUUAUCCCUUAAUCCUAACCCUAAUUACAUGUAAACUACACAACUGAAAACAUAGUCCUAAGCAAGUUUUCAACGGCAAACGUCGAGUCUCCUUCCAGCGAGCUUUCUGGCGAUCUUCCGACGGACUUCCGAUACACCCUCGGAUUUCUUCUGGUGGACUCCCAACAGCGUCCCGAUCAUGUGAUUAGUACAGUGAGUAGUUGAGCCUUCUCAGUGAUCUUCACAAACCUCCGACGAUCUCUUCGGCGGACUUUCGAAAACUCCGACAAGUCCCCGAUUUCUUCUCGGUUAGUUCCGGCAGCAUCUCCGACGAAUCUUCGGACUCUCGAACACCCAUCGAACUUGACUCCGAUAGACUUGCUUUGUGUCUUCAAGCUAUUGUAGUUAAUCCUGCACAUGUAAAACAAAAGUUUGAUCUAGACAAUUACUCCUAAGCAAUUAAUCAAGUUGUCCGGCAUGUCAUUGGCUCCUUGACGCUUCGUUCGAUUCUUCGGCGCAUCGUCCUCUCUUGCAGCCUAUUGCCCAAUCGGCCAGUUGACUUUGUAAUUCCGAUAUCCUUGGCGCAAUACCCGCUCUUCUUUGCCCGAUGCCCGAAUCCAUGGCCCGAAGCCUUCUGUCGAUACGUCAACCGAUCCACCGGCCUAACGUCCAAUCUUCUGACAUGUUCCUCUAGCACAACAUGAUUUUCUUACUUUAAUUGUCUCAUCCUGAUCGAAGCAUCCUGCGUCUCUCAAAACACAGAUUAAAUCAUAAACACAUAUCAAGUGGUUUCAUCAUCAAAAUACGAGAUUCAAUAAUCUUCCCCUUUUUGAUGAUGACAACCACUUGAUGACGGAGUUAACCUUAACUUCCGGAGUUUAAACAAACUCCCCCUAUCAAUAUGCCAUAUUGAUAGAACCUUGAAUUUAAGCCAAAUUCAAGUCAUUGCAAAUAUCCAUCAUGAAUAUUUGCAAUACGUCAUCAUGCAUAAGAUAAUCAUACUUCUCCCCUUUUGUCAUCAACAAAAAAGAGAAGUGUCACUUUCUAUGUGUUUGAGAGAUGAAUUCAACUUAUUGCAUGAAAAAUAUAAUAUCAAGUUUUAUCAUCAUGCAAUUUGUAAGCUUGAAAAUUUAGCAAAUGCUACAUCAUACAGGCUAGCAAAAAUUUAGCAAGUGCUAUAUCACAUUAGAAUAUGCAAGCUAUCAAGUUUUAGAUAUGCAAGAUAGUAAAAUAGCAUGUCCUACUUUACAACAUUUUACAAUAUUUUAGAACAUGCAAGCUUGCAGUUUUAAGAUGUUCAAAAAGCAACUCUUGCUUCUUAAAAUAUGCAAGUUGCAAGCUAUCAAAUUUUGCUUCCUUUGCAAUGUUUGAGCUUGCAAUUUUGCUUCCAUUGCAAAGUGCAAGUUUAGCAUGUUUAGCAUCUUGAGAUAGCAACUGUUUGCUUCUCUUUAGACUACAAGCUAGCAAUUUUUACGAUAUGCAAGUUUUACUACAUACAAGCUAGCAAAAAUUUCGAAAGCAAAUGCAAGAUAGCUUUCUUGUGUAAGCUCAUGACUCUUGCUUCCUAUUGCAAUAUGCAAGUUGCAAGUUUUGCUUCUUAAGAUAGGCAAGAUAGCACAUUUGCUUGAGAUUACAAGAUAGCAUUUCUUGCUUUUGAGAUGAACAAGCUAAUAAGUUUUGCCCCUUUUUGCGAUGUGUACGUUUAUAAUUUUUUUGUUUCUCUUGUCUUGUGCAAGCUAGCUAUUUCCCCCUUUGUCAUUGUCAAAAAAAGGGAAGACCCUUUACAUCAAUUAUGACAAAGGUAAGUAUCAAUAUUAUUCAUGCAUUAUUAUAAUUUUAAAUUAAAACAUGCACCUUUUCAAAAACCUUAUAUUUCAUUCAUGCACGAUAUUGAAUAAAUCAAUCAACAUUAUGAGCAUAUUAUACAUGAUACUAAAAUUUUUAACUAUUUAUCGAUAUUUUGAUCAUGAUACCAAACAUUCAUCAUUUAGAGCAUUCAUGACACAAAGCAUUAAAUCAACAUACAUCAUUUUAGCAACAACUCAUAGCAUUUUAAAUCAUGAUUUACAUCAUAUGUAAUACAUCACAUCAUAAUUAGAAAGCACAAGUAUUGCAUGUAUCAUUGCAAAUCAUAAAUGUUUCAUAUCAUGAUGGUAUUAAUUUGUCAAAUUGCAUCCUACCAUGUAUGAUUAUAACUUUUUUCAUUUUAUCAUUGUAAAUAAGAAAGAAUAAGGGAAGAACAAAAUAGUGUAAAAUAUUUCAAUUAUUUUCAAGGCAUACAAGCCAUAAAUCCAAUGGCAUCAUGUCAUGAAAGAUAAGACCUCUUGAAUUACAAAAGACAUGAUUCAUUUUAUCAAAUCUUUUCUUUUUAUAAAUAACAAAAAUUGUAGGUGUACAAAGAAGAGAUUGUGAUUAAAAAAGAAUCUCAAGUAGUAAAUCUAAGAAAUUAAGAUCAUAAUUUGAAUACAAACUCAUUCAAAUUCAAAUCGUCAAAUUCAUCAAAAUCUCAACAUUACUUUCAAGAGAUUCAAAAUGGUAUAUAUAGAGUUAUCAUAAUAAUCAUCAAGAUCAAUAAGAUAGAGAAAAAUAAUUUUUCAAGGAAAAAAUAUUUUCCUCUUUUUAGUUGUUUCAAUUCAUAUGAUUUUAUUUCAUGUAUGCCAAAUAAAAAUAUGUAUCAUGUUUAAAACCAAAAGUGUGAGGUUUAUUACAACAAAGAUCAAUAAGGCACUUUUAUUAUGGUAAAAAUUAAUAAUCCGUAAAUCGCAAGAUUCAUCAUGCAUAAUUUCGAAAUUUAUUAAGCAUGAUCGUUGUGCAUGACACUAAAACAUGGUUUCAAAAUGUUUAAUAUUUUCAUUACACAAUUUUAUCAUUAUGCAUCAUCAUAUUUUCAAAUUCGAACAUGCACAAUUUCAAAACUAUAUCUUUCAUUUUUCAUGCAUGAUACAAAUAACUCAAUCAUCAUUAUGAACAUAUUAUAUAUGAUAUUCAAGCAUUUAUGAUACAUUAUUUUGGUAACAUGAUCAUAGUUUUUCAAAUGAUGGUAUCUAAAUAUCAAAGUUCAUUACAUCCUAUCAUGCAUGAUCAUUAACUUCUCAUUUGUAUUUCAUACAUUAUUCAAAAUAUCAAGAGAAUUUUGGUGAUGAAAUAUACAUUUCAUGAAUGCAAGAAAUUUUACAUAAUAAAAUUCAAGUCAUAAAUUAUCAAGAUGUCAAGUAGCAUAGGUUAAUUUGAAUAAAUCAUUUUUAGUGAAUACCAAGAAGAAUCACAUCAUGAAAGAAUUUUGAUUCAUGGAAAAAUUUCAUGUAUCGAGAAAUGAAGAUGAUAAUUUAUAAAAAAAUAUUACAAGUUAUAUUCAAGAGAAAAAUCAUCAUUCGUUUUCAACUCAUUCAAUUUGUCAAAUCAAUAUCAUGAUUUUGAUAUAACUCAUUUCAAAUUCAAAUCAUCAAAUUAAAAUCAUUUUCAAGAGAUUCAUAUAAAUCAAUAAGAUAGUGAAAAACAAUUUUCAAGAACAAUGCUUUUCUCUUUCUAGUUACUUAAAUUCAUGUCAUUUAUUUCAUUUAUGCUAAAUAAAUAUGUGCAUCAACAUUUAGGAUCGAAAAAUGAAUUUUGUCAUAAAAACCAUCAAGAUCAAUAAAUCACAAAAAAUAUUAUGUAUAACUAUACAAUCUCAUGCAUAAAAUCAUCAAAUCAUAGUAUCAAAAUUUCAAUAUUUUCAUUCCGUCAUUUUGCAUUGGUUUCAUUGAACAUAAUUUUGAAUGAUUCUUAUAGAUAACUAAAACUUCUUUAGUUUUAAUUUAUGUGAUUGACUUUAUAUUAGCAUGCUCAAAUUUUGUUCUUAAGUCAAAACCAUACAUCAUGUUUGACAACCAAAGACAAGGUUCGAAAAAAAAGAUCAUCAAACCUUCCAUUCAAAAGCCAUGCAUCAUUAUUAAGCAUGAUAUUAAACUUCUCAAUAUUUUCAUUAAGACAUCAAGCAUUGUUUCAAUCAAAAUCGCAAAUCAUCAAAAUACACAUUCUGACUUCUCAAGCACAUACAUAAGAUUUAUAUUUAACAUUUUAUUACAUUUUCAUUUUUAACCAUUAAAUUAUUAACAUGUAAUUUUCAAGAAAAUUAAUCCUAAACUAAAUUAAAAAUAACUCAUGAAAAGUAUUAUAUAAUUUUGAAAUAAUUAGGGGGAUUUUGAUUACCUCAUCGUUGACAGCGGUUAAGGCAUAGUUUGCCACCUCGCCUUUCUUGAUUUUCUCCUCAUCUUCGGAGGAACUCGAUUCAUCCCAAUUUGUGUUCUUCUUCUUGCGUUUAAAGCAAGUAGUUCCGUUCUUUUUAUGUUUUAAUUUUUAUUUCAUUUGUAGUUUAAGUUCACCAUCACUUGAGUUUAUGCUCGAGUGGUCUUCAUGUGUUCUAUGUCCCAAAUCUUUCCUGUCAUUUAGAAGGUUGUUCUCGAGUUUCUUUUUUGUCACAUUGUUCAUUUCGUAGGUCAUUAAAGACCCAAUUAGUUCUUCAAGAGGAAAUGUCUUAAGGUCCUUGGCCUUUUGAAUCGCCGUAACUUUUAGAUCCCAACUUUUUGGAAGGGAUCUUAAGAUUUUAAUUACUAGUUCAAAGUAAGUAAAACUUUUACCAAGAGUUUUGAGUCCAUUGAUGACAUCCGUGAAAUGGGUGUACAUGUCUCCAAUGGACUCACUUGGUUUCAAUCAAAAAAGUUUGUAAGAGUGCACAAGAAUAUUGAUUUUGGACUCUUUCACUCAGCUAGUGCCUUCAUAAGUAACCUUAAGAGUUCUCCGAAUAUCAAAAGCUGAAUCACAAAUCGAAAUGUGAUUUAAUUCAUUUUUGUCAAGUGCACAAUAUAAGGCAUUCAUAGCCUUUGCGUUUAAAGCAGAAACUUUCUUCUCCGAUUCAUCCCAUUCGCUCAUCGGAAGAGAAGAUUUUUGAAAUCCAUUUUCGACAAUAUUCCAAAGCUCAAGAUUUAACGAAAGUAAGAAAACUCUCAUUCGAGUUUUCCAAUAAGUGUAGUUUGUCCCAUUGAAAAAGGGAGGACGAAUGAGAGAGUGACCCUCUUGAAAGUCGUAAAGAGCCAUUUCUAUUUGGGUGUUAAACCAAAGUAGAAAACCAUGGCUCUGAUACCAAUUGUUAGGAUCGGAGCGGCAUUAAAAGAGGGGGUGAAUUAGUGCAAUGGAUUAAAACUCAUAAGUUUGAAAAUAAUUUCGUAAAUGCGUAGAGAUUUUGAUUUGACAAUGAAUGACUUGGUGAAAGUAGCUUGAGUAAAGUGAGAAGAUAAAACCCGAAAGCUUGCUGCUAUGUAAAUAAUGGUUUACGAAAGGUAAACACUCACAUUCAACGAACACACCAAUUUAAAGUGGUUCGGUCAAAAUGACCUACAUCCACUUGCGAAGCCUUCUUCGAUGAGGCUCCCAACUUCCACACUCUUACAAGUGGUUCACACUCUUACAUAUUUUUAAAGAGAAAGAGGGAGGUGAACACUCAAGCAAUUGAAAACAAGACUUGCUAAAGACUUUGCUAAGGCUUUAUCUCAAUCUCUAACUUCUCAAAGGUUGUGUUCUCUGUUGAGAAUUGAGGGGUAUUUAUAGACCCCAAGAGGAUUCAAAUUUGAGCUCCAAAUUUGAAUUCUCUUGGGUUCCCCAAGCUGGCGGUGCCACCGCCUGUCAAUAUCAUAUUGACCGUUAACUGGCGGUGCCACCGCCCGUCCUUUCGGGUGCUGUGCGAUGCCACCGCCCGAUCCUCGGGUUCUAAGCGAUGCCACCGCCCAGUCCGACGGUUCCACUACCCGAUCCUACGGGUCACUAGAUGGGCUUCAAAUAUGGCCCAAACUAGGUAAUAUCGGGCCCAAUUGGCCCCUAACCAGGAUAUAGGAUUA
rnacentral:lncRNA from 1 species